CCCUCAGAGUGUCAUAUCAAAUGAGAGUAGUGUGUUGUUUACAAUCACAAAAUCAGACACGUUGAACAGGGAA
rnacentral:ncRNA from 1 species